rnacentral:rRNA from 1 species
UACGUAGGGGGCAAGCGUUGUCCGGAAUCAUUGGGCGUAAAGCGCGUGUAGGCGGUUCGGUAAGUCUGCUGUGAAAGUCCAGGGCUCAACCCUCGAAUGCCGGUGGAUACUGUCGGGCUAGAGUGCGGAAGAGGCGAGUGGAAUUCCUGGUGUAGCGGUGAAAUGCGCAGAUAUCAGGAGGAACACCUAUUGCGAAGGCAGCUCGCUGGGACGUAACUGACGCUGAGACGCGAAAGCGUGGGGAGCAAACAGG